UGCAGCUGUGAGUCCGUUAACAACUUAUAAUUACAAUGGGAACUCACAUAUCGGAACUUAGCGGUUCGCACUAAUGAAAAAGCAAAACUUCCGGAUUCUAGUAAACAAAGUGUGCCUCUAGUGGUAAGCACAGCGAAUGAACGCAUGCGGGCGACGACAGGGAGCCCCCCAGAAUGCAUCUCAACUUAUCCCGAACACGCUGAGUAUACUGUAGUAUUUCUCCUUCCGAACAGUGCUAUCCAGCUUCAUCAAAAGAUUAGCUACGUUACACUUGGUAGACGGUGGCACACCUUCGGACUAUCGUUUAAGAUAGCACAAUACAUAAAUAUGGUAAGUAACUUGGUAAUGGUAAGUGAAGAAAGGUUACAUUACAUAAAUAGAGCACAAUAUACACUAAGAAGGGACACGUGAACAAUUAGGCUUAUCUUAUACAAGUUACAGCGGUUAUCCAUUACUCCUCUAAGAUGACAAAUUGACGCCGAACGUAUCCUCGCAUUCCUGUAAUUGCAUAUUAGCCUAACGUAAAUAACAAUUUUAUCGCCAGGUUUAAAAUCUUAGUAAAAAUUAAUAAGCGGCACAAUUGGCUGGCCUGUGAUUGAGUCGUUAUGGCCACUUACAUCCUACCGGUGGUCACAAGAUUUACUUUGCUCUUCCCAGCCAGGUAGGGUAUCAUGAUUUUAACCUUGCGGCAUCUGUAUUCGCUGACGCCUCUUAAAAUCACCCCCCACCCGAGUGCCGGAUACCUCGCGUAGCCACUCCGUUAACAAAUGAAUCCAAGUUAAUACCCGUUCGAAUGAACUUACAAUUUACCGCCUACAACCCAAAUUUCAUUUUAUCCUGUACAGUUUUCAGGAGAAGUUAUUUAAACAGCCGGUAUAUUAACAAGCUUUUGGUAUUAUGGUCUAAAAAGCCUAGAAUAUAUUAAUCCGCACAUGACUCUGUAACAUUUAUGAUCACCAGUGCAACACUAUGUACACGUUGCGUGACUUGUGGUACUGGGCUCUACUCCUCCU